rnacentral:rRNA from 1 species
AGAUUGAACGCUGGCGGCAGGCCUAACACAUGCAAGUCGAGCGGCAGCACGGGUACUUGUACCUGGUGGCGAGCGGCGGACGGGUGAGUAAUGCCUAGGAAUCUGCCUGGUAGUGGGGGAUAACGCUCGGAAACGGACGCUAAUACCGCAUACGUCCUACGGGAGAAAGCGAGGGGACCUUCGGGCCUUGCGCUAUCAGAUGAGCCUAGGUCGGAUUAGCUAGUUGGUGAGGUAAUGGCUCACCAAGGCGACGAUCCGUAACUGGUCUGAGAGGAUGAUCAGUCACACUGGAACUGAGACACGGUCCAAG